rnacentral:lncRNA from 1 species
CUUGGAAGGGACUGGACCUGUCAUUACGACUUAGGACGACUUGUGAUAGAGACAUCUGUGCUAGGCAAAGGGGCCAGGAGGAGUUCACAGCAAUUCCUCACUGGAAACGCACAACACAGCCAGUAAAUGCCACCCGCAGCGGGAAAACGCACACCCUUUCACAGUGACUCAUUCUUGCUCCUGGGCUCUCGGAGAAAGAGGCUCUGAUUCCCGCUUUCUGAAGACGGGGGUGGCACUAGGGACCAUUACCAAGCCAUCUAGCUCUCCCCUGUCAUCUCGCUCCCUCGCAUCCUCCUACCCUUAUUUUUUCGUCUCUUUUCAGCUCCCGCGGCUCCUUCCCAGGCGCAGGGUGCAUAACCUGCUGCGGGGACGUGGACCGGUGGGACGGAACGUGCAGGGGAAGUCUGGGGACUGAGAAGGGGACGGAGGUGUCCCGUAAGUUCGAUCCCGCAACUCACCGGCCGGCGACGCCCAAAGAAAGUGGGGCGGGAGCUGAGCCAGGACACCAAGAAAGAGCGCCGCGCGGACAGAUCCGGCCGUGGGUCCGGCGCUCAGGAGAACUGGGAGACCAGUGGCGGGGCUCAGAGGCUUUAAAGCCGGAACCCCCCGCCCCGCCCCCCGGGGACUCCGCUCCGCCGCGUCCUUCCUCCUGCUGAUUGGUUCCGGCUGUUGCCCCGCCCCGACUUUCUAAGCCACCCCACUAAGUUGCCUUGGCAUCCCCGCACCCGCGUUUUCCCUCGGGUGCCCCUGGCCACCGUGCCCUUACAGAGGCGUCGGCUGGAUCACCGCCCGGUGCAGGACCCCGCCUGGGUCCCCUUCCUGCGACGGCGCGGGACCCGGACGCGUCCCCAGCGCCUCCCGCUGCCUCCUCGCCGCCGGCUUCCGCCCUUCUUUCGCACUCGUCCCGCCGCCCUGGCUGUUCCCGGAGAAGACGAACCCAAAGCCAAGGAUAAAGUUGGGGCCUCCGGCCAGGGCAGGUGGCGACCCAAGUCGGAGCAGCAGAAAAAUCUGCCUUUUACAAAACAUCAGCAGCCGCCCGGCUGACUGGCCCCCGGGACUGGCCGCUUUCCACUGACUGCCCCAAAUCCCUGCGCUGCUUAACCAUUCUGAUAUGUCGCCUUCCUCACCUCGUCUUUUCCUGUCUCCUCUCCGGACUUCUUGGGCCCGAGUGUUUAACCAUUUGCAUCCCCACCUUCCGACUCAUCCUUUUUAUUAUUAAAAUACCAACAAAUUUCGGGCUCCUAAUAAAGUCCCGUCUGAAAUCAACGUGGUUGAAGGCAAUUGUUAGCUAGCCUGCCAUCAGCGAUAGUUUUCAGUAGAUUCUGUGCCCCUGGCCCGAAAACUUUCAGGAAAGACUCUCUAAAAGCAAAAGCAACUUCUCCUUUGGGAAAAGUUCGGACAGUCAGGAAGAAAAUGCCUAGCUCUGCUGCCACCUGGAGGCUUGCAGAAACAAUCUUUUUCUUUUUCUUUUGAGGUACUGAGGAUUGAAUCCAGCAGGGGCGCUCUGCUACUGAGCCACGUCCCCUGCUCAUUUAAAAAUUGUUAUUUUGAGACAGGAUGUUGCUAAAUCAUCCAGGCCAUCCUCCAACUUGCAAUACUCCUACCUCAGCCUCCAAGAAGCUGGAAUCACAGGCAUGUGCAGCAGCGCCUGGCUAUAAUUAACCUUUCAAAAUUUCCUUUGGUCAAUUUCAUUGUUAUCUCGAGAUCCAAUCAGGCAACCACCAUUUAAACACCAUUUAAAUAGCU